rnacentral:rRNA from 1 species
UAGGGAAUCUUCCGCAAUGGGCGAAAGCUUGACGGAGCAACGCCGCGUGAGUGAUGAAGGUCUUCGGAUCGUAAAACUCUGUUAUUAGGGAAGAACAAAUGUGUAAGUAACUAUGCACGUCUUGACGGUACCUAAUCAGAAAGCCACGGCUAACUACGUGCCAGCAGCCGCGGUAAUACGUAGGUGGCAAGCGUUAUCCGGAAUUAUUGGGCGUAAAGCGCGCGUAGGCGGUUUUUUAAGUCUGAUGUGAAAGCCCACGGCUCAACCGGGGGGGGUCGUUGGAAACGGGAGAGCUUGAGGGCAGAAGAGGAAAGUGGAAUUGCAUGUGUAGCGGUGAAAUGCGCAGAGAUAUGGAGGAACACCAGUGGCGAAGGCGACUUUCUGGUCUGUAACUGACGCUGAUGUGCGAAAGCGUGGGGAUCAAACAGG